rnacentral:rRNA from 1 species
GUGCCAGCAGCGCGCGGUAAUACCGGCAGCCCAAGUGAUGGCCGACCUUAUUGGGCCUAAAGCGUCCGUAGCGGGCUGCGCAAGUCCGACGGGAAAUCCACUCGCCCAACGAGUGGGCGUCCGACGGAAACUGCACAGCUUGGGACCGGAAGGCUCGAAGGGUACGUUCGGGGUAGGAGUGAAAUCCUAUAAUCCCGCACGGACCACCGAUGGCGAAAGCACUUCGAGAAAACGGAUCCGACAGUGAGGGACGAAAGCCAGGGUCUCCAACCGGAUUAGAAACCCCUGUAGUCC